rnacentral:rRNA from 1 species
AGUCGCAAGACCGCGAGGUUUAGCAAAUCUCUUAAAGCCGUUCUCAGUUCGGAUCGUAGGCUGCAACUCGCCUACAUGAAGUCGGAAUCGCUAGUAAUCGCGGAUCAGCAUGCCGCGGUGAAUACGUUCCCGGGCCUUGUACACACCGCCCGUCACACCAUGAGAGUUUGUAACACCCAAAGCCGGUGGGGUAACCUUUUGGAGCCAGCCGUCUAAGGUGGGACAGAUGAUUGGGGUGAAGUCGUAACAAGGUAAC